rnacentral:rRNA from 1 species
CCUACGGGUGACAGCAGUGAGGAAUAUUGGUCAAUGGGCGAGAGCCUGAACCAGCCAAGUCGCGUGAGGGAGUACUGCCCUAUGGGUUGUAAACCUCUUUUGUCGGGGAGCAAAAGCCGGACGUGUCCGGCUGUGAGAGUACCCGAAGAAAAAGCAUCGGCUAACUCCGUGCCAGCAGCCGCGGUAAUACGGAGGAUGCGAGCGUUAUCCGGAUUUAUUGGGUUUAACGGGUGCGCAGGCGGAUUUUUAAGUCAGCGGUAAAAUCGUGGGGCUCAACCCCAUCCAGCCGUUGAAACUGGGGAUCUAGAGUGUGCGAGAGGUAUGCGGAAUGCGUGGUGUAGCGGUGAAAUGCAUAGAUAUCACGCAGAACCCCGAUUGCGAAGGCAGCAUACCGGUGCACAACUGACGCUCAGGCACGAAAGCGUGGGUAUCGAACAGGAUUAGAUACCCUAGUAGUC